rnacentral:rRNA from 1 species
CACGUAGGGGGCAAGCGUUGUUCGGAAUUAUUGGGCGUAAAGGGCAUGUAGGCGGUUUCGUAAGCCUGGUGUGAAAUCCUGCAGCUUAACUGUAGAAUGGCAUUGGGUACUGCGAGACUUGAAUCACGGAGGGGAAACUAGAAUUCCAGGUGUAGGGGUGGAAUCUGUAGAUAUCUGGAAGAAUACCGGUGGCGAAGGCGGGUUUCUAGCCGAUGAUUGACGCUGAGGUGCGAAAGUGCGGGGAGCAAACAGG